UUGCUUUAAUUAGGAAGUGUUUGACGUGCUCGAUCUGCUCUUCUAUGUCUUCAUCGUCAUCACAAAUUUCUUCAAACUU
rnacentral:sRNA from 1 species